UAUAUUUGCACCUUGAUUCGAAAAUCGGGUCUGUACAUAACAAUCAUUUACAAUAAUAUUAGCAUG
rnacentral:ncRNA from 1 species